GACGAACGCUGGCGGCGUGCCUAAUACAUGCAAGUAGAACGCACAGUUUAUACCGUAGCUUGCUACACCAUAGACUGUGAGUUGCGAACGGGUGAGUAACGCGUAGGUAACCUGCCUGGUAGCGGGGGAUAACUAUUGGAAACGAUAGCUAAUACCGCAUAAUAUUAAUUAUUGCAUGAUAAUUAAUUGAAAGGUGCAAUUGCACCACUACCAGAUGGACCUGCGUUGUAUUAGCUAGUAGGUGAGGUAACGGCUCACCUAGGCGACGAUACAUAGCCGACCUGAGAGGGUGAUCGGCCACACUGGGACUGAGACACGGCCCAGACUCCUACGGGAGGCAGCAGUAGGGAAUCUUGGGCAAUGGACGAAAGUCUGACCGAGCAACGCCGCGUGAGUGAAGAAGGUUGUCGGAUCGUAAAGCUCUGUUGUAAGAGAAGAACGGGGGUGAGAGUGGAAAGUUCACACUGUGACGGUAUCUUACCAGAAAGGGACGGCUAACUACGUG
rnacentral:rRNA from 1 species